UACAGAGGGUGCGAGCGUUGUCCGGAAUCACUGGGCGUAAAGGGCGCGUAGGUGGCGCGGCAAGCGUGCGGUGAAAGCCCGGGGCUCAACCCCGGGUCGGCCGUGCGGACUGCCGGGCUGGAGCACUGUAGAGGCAGGUGGAAUUCCGGGUGUAGCGGUGGAAUGCGUAGAGAUCCGGAAGAACACCGGUGGCAAAGGCGGCCUGCUGGGCAGUAGCUGACGCUGAAGCGCGACAGCGUGGGGAGCAAACAGG
rnacentral:rRNA from 1 species